rnacentral:rRNA from 1 species
CAGUAGCCGCGGUAAUACGAAGGGGGCUAGCGUUGUUCGGAAUUACUGGGCGUAAAGCGCACGUAGGCGGAUCGAUCAGUCAGGGGUGAAAUCCCAGGGCUCAACCCUGGAACUGCCUUUGAUACUGUCGAUCUGGAGUAUGGAAGAGGUGAGUGGAAUUCCGAGUGUAGAGGUGAAAUUCGUAGAUAUUCGGAGGAACACCAGUGGCGAAGGCGGCUUACUGGUCCAUUACUGACGCUGAGGUGCGAAAGCGUGGGGAGCAAACAGGAUUAGAUACCCGUGUAGUCCCUGUCUCUUAUAC